GACGAACCGUGCGAACGUUAUUCGGAAUCACUGGGCUUAAAGCGCGUGUAGGCGGAUGGGACGUCGGCCUCUGAAAUCCCCCGGCUCAACCGGGGAAGUGGAGCCGAAACGACCCGUCUGGAGGGACGUAGGGGGACCUGGAACUUCCGGUGGAGCGGUGAAAUGCGUUGAGAUCGGAAGGAACGCCCGUGGCGAAAGCGAGGUCCUGGACGUCUGCUGACGCUGAGACGCGAAAGCCAGGGGAGCGAACGGG
rnacentral:rRNA from 1 species